CGGAGGGUGCAAGCAUUGAUCGGAAUUACUGGGCGUAAAGGGCGCGUAGGCGGCUUUGUAAGUCGGAUGUGAAAUUCCGGGGCUCAACCCCGGAGCUGCAUUUGAAACUGCAAAACUUGAGUAUAGUUAGGGUAAACGGAAUUCCACGCGUAGCGGUGAAAUGCGUAGAUAUGUGGAAGAACACCAGUGGUGAAGACGGUUUACUGGGCUAUAACUGACGCUGAGGCGCGAAAGCAUGGGGAGCAAACAGGAUU
rnacentral:rRNA from 1 species